UACGUAGGGGGCAAGCGUUGUCCGGAGUUAUUGGGCGUAAAGCGCGUGUAGGCGGCCACGCAGGUCCGUUGUGAAAACUCGAGGCUUAACCUCGAGACGUCGAUGGAAACCGCAUGGCUAGAGUCCGGAAGAGGAGAGUGGAAUUCCUGGUGUAGCGGUGAAAUGCGUUGAUAUCCAGCGGAACUCCGGUGGCGAAGGCGAGGCGCUGGACCCUUUCUGACGCUGAGGCGCGAAAGCCAGGGGAGCAAACGGG
rnacentral:rRNA from 1 species